CGGCAACAGCUCAAAUUUGAAAGCCCGCGGGCGUUGUAAUUUGCAGGCGGAUGUUUUGGGGCGGGCGCUGUCUACGUUCCUUGGAACAGGACGCCGCAGAGGGUGAGAGCCCCGUGCGAUGGCGCCUCCAACCGCGUAAAACUCCGCCGACGAGUCGAGUUGUUUGGGAAUGCAGCUCCAAGUGGGUGGUAAAUUCCAUCUAAAGCUAAAUACUGGCGAGAGACCGAUAGCGAACAAGUACAGUGAUGGAAAGAUGAAAAGCACUUUGAAAAGAGAGUGAAACAGCACGUGAAAUUGUUGAAAGGGAAGGGUAUGCGAUUAGCGGCCAGCAGGAGGUGCCUUCUCGUGAAAAGGCCGUGCACCGUCUUCGGACACCGUGCGCGGAGAUGGCGAGGGGGCGCCUGAGGUCUGCGACUCGAGGUUGCUGGCGUAAUGAUUGCAUACCACCCG
rnacentral:rRNA from 1 species